CGCGGCCGCCGCCGCCAACCAGAGGGCGGCGGGGGCGGAACAGGCCGCGCGCCAGGCCCGGCCAAUCCAGCCCUCUACAAGUGCGCCGAGGAGCGGCCGCGGAAAUGGCCGGGCGAUUGGUCAGAAGCUGAAGCUCAUGGAGGAUUGGUAAUGUGUCCAAGAUCACAAGACUAGCUCAAGAGAGAGCCGCAUUCAUGACCUCCUACCUGCCUGCUCCAGUGCCUGCCUAAAUGCCCAUCCUUGCUGCCGGAAACAGGAUGGCUAACUUCAAAAGGCAAAAGAAGCAAAUAUCACUGAUCUUCACCAAAAGACAGCUCAAUAUAGCAGCACUGCCUUGGAGUUUAAGUUCCAUUGCUCUAACUUACCACCUGCUUGAUCUUGAACAAGACAUAUCAUUAAAUCCCUCUGAGCCUCUGAGUGCUUGUCUAUAAAAUGGGAUAAUAACAAAUUCUGCCUCCUGGGGCUGGCAUGAAAACCGAAUCAAAUAAAUAUACAUAAAUACAUA